UAUUUAGUAUCAAUGUGUCCCAUACAAUAUUUGGGAUACACUUAUACUAAAA
rnacentral:pre_miRNA from 1 species